rnacentral:rRNA from 1 species
CGCGCAGGCGGUUUGGUAAGUCAGAUGUGAAAGCCCACGGCUUAACUGUGGAAGUGCAUUUGAAACUGUCAGACUUGAGUACCAGAGGGGAAAGUGGAAUUCCCGGUGUAGAGGUGAAAUUCGUAGAUAUCGGGAGGAAUACCGGUGGCGAGGGCGACUUUCUGGCUGGAUACUGACGCUGAGGCGCGAAAGCGUGGGGAGCAAACA